UCCCGAAUAGCUCAGUCGGUUAGAGCAUCUGACUGUUAAUCAGAGGGUCGCUGGUUCGAGCCCAGCUUCGGGAGC
rnacentral:tRNA from 2 species